rnacentral:rRNA from 1 species
GCUUUUGUGUGAAAAACUCCGGUGGUACGGGAUGGGCCCGCGUCUGAUUAGCUUGUUGGCGGGGUAGAGGCCCACCAAGGCGACGAUCAGUAGCCGACCUGAGAGGGUGACCGGCCACAUUGGGACUGAGACACGGCCCAAACUCCUACGGGAGGCAGCAG